rnacentral:tRNA from 2 species
GGGGGCGUGGCGAAAUUGGUAGACGCACUGGAUUUAGGUUCCAGCGCCGCAAGGUGUAAGAGUUCGAGUCUCUUCGCCCC